rnacentral:tRNA from 1 species
CGGGGUGUAGCUCAGUUUGGCUAGAGCGCUUGGUUCGGGAUCAAGAGGUCGUAGGUUCAAAUCCUAUCACCCCGA